rnacentral:snRNA from 1 species
AUACUUACCUGGACGAGGCCAAUGGAUGAUCAAGGAGGUCCAUGGCCUAGGUUAGUAACCUCCAUUGCACUUUGGAAGGUCGCUCGCUUAAGAUCUUCCCAAGUGGAGGAGUCUACAUCAUAAUUUGUGAUAGAGGGGGGUACGCGUUCUCGCGGCCCCCUG